GAUUCUGAGAGGAAGACCUGAGCAGAAAAAUGUAUUGUCCUAUUUAUUACCCACCUGUCUGUUCAUGGAGGUCAUUUUCUCUCAGAGACCCUGAGCAAGGCUGUGGAACAUCGCUGUUCUAGAACAUACUCCACCCAGACAUGACCCAGUAGAGGACAGUUGAGGGAGAGGCAUCCCUGUGACAAAUGAUGCAAUGACAUGAACCCAUAGGGUCUGGCCAGUCUCACAAUCAUGGCUGCAGGGUUCUGGAACUGGGCUCCAUUCAAAUCCAUAGUCUUCUCAGUCACCAGAAAAGUGACAAAUCCAUCGUGAGUAUGCUAGAUAUAUGCUGCUUCCACAGCCUGAAGAC